AGAUUCCUGUCUUUUAUGUCGGCUUUGUGCUCUUGGAUUCUAUCUUUUGGGUUCCUUGUGGUUGGCCCUAUGUAUUCUUCUUGCUUGUUGGGAUCUUCAUUAUAUAAGGGAAAAACAUAAACUCCAGCUAUAUUUUGUCCUUAUAUAAUGGGGAUCUUAGUGGGCAAGAAGAAUGCAUGGGGCUAGCCACAAGGAAUCUAAAAGAUGGAAUCUGAGAAUAGUGUUGGCGGAGGGAUCAUAUGAACAUAAUAUACAAAUCAAAUGGGAAGACACAGGAAUCGUGGAGUCUUGUAGUAAUUUGGAGGAGGGCUUGAUACUGGAGUCAUUGGAGGUGGUACAGGGAGGGCAAUGUGGGGACUUCAUUGAUGGACAA
rnacentral:lncRNA from 1 species